rnacentral:lncRNA from 1 species
GGUACUCUCCUAUAUCAUCUGUCUUCUCAUCACUGCACCUACUUUACUGAGUCACUCUGACUCUCACAACUCUGACAAUUCAGAUCCCUUCUUCCCUGGGCUUUGAUGAUCAGGAAAGACUGUCCUGUACUGAAUUUAUUACCCUAUGCUACUUGUCCAGAACUAUACAAUCUUCAUUUAAAAUAUGAAAAGAGCAAAGGGAACAUAUGGAAAAGCCAUAAAGAAAGUGAAGUGUCUAGAUAGCAAAAUAAGAAUACCUGGAAGCAGUAACCAAAUGUAUGUUAACUUACUUACACAUUAAACUUACAAGGUAUACAGAGGAUUUGAGCAUUUUAUGAAAAAAAUACAAAUAUAGAAAUGGAAACAGUAACAUUAUUAGUCAGCAGUUCAGGGACAAUAGUCAAAAACUGGGAAGAAAAUAAAUAAUUUGGAAUGUGGGCAUAUUAUUGAAAAAAUAUCUUUCAUACUGAUAGUUUGAAAAAAUAAAAGUAUAAAUCUAACAUUGUGAACUAAUUCCUUUGAUAUGAACUCAGAGCGAAUCACACAAGUACACAUUAUAAUAGAACUGACAAAAGCUGACUACAAAUCUGAGAUAGAGUGAGAAAUAUAAGUUUCUUGGAGCAGGAAGAGAAAUGUAUGAAUUUACACUCAUUUCCUGAAAGGAGAAACCUCUAGCACAUAGCAUAUCCACACUUCUUCUCAGGUUCUUUGGUCCAGAGUUAUGAUAAAGUAAUUCACAGAGUAAGAGACAAUGUAGUACUUACCAAAUACUG